UUCAUUGCUAAGUUGGUAAAGCACAGAACUCUUAACCUUGUGGACGUGGGUUCAAGCCCUACGAUGAAA
rfam:Triticum aestivum genome assembly, contig: Triticum_aestivum_CS42_TGACv1_scaffold_486098_6AS